rnacentral:rRNA from 1 species
CCUACGGGAGGCAGCAGUGAGGAAUAUUGGUCAAUGGCCGAGAGUCUGAACCAGCCAAGUCGCGUGAAGGAUGACUGCCCUAUGGGUUGUAACCUUCUUUUAUAAAGGAAUAAAACGAGGCACGUGUGCCUUUUUGCAUGUACUUUAUGAAUAAGGAUCGGCUAACUCCGUGCCAGCAGCCGCGGUAAUACGGAGGAUCCGAGCGUUAUCCGGAUUUAUUGGGUUUAAAGGGAGCGUAGAUGGGUUGUUAAGUCAGUUGUGAAAGUUUGCGGCUCAACCGUAAAAUUGCAAUUGAUACUGGCAGUCUUGAGUACAGGUGAGGUAGGCGGAAUUCGUGGUGUAGCGGUGAAAUGCUUAGAUAUCACGAAGAACCCCGAUUGCGAAGGCAGCUUACUAAACUGUGACUGACAUUGAGGCGCGAAAGUGUGGGUAUCAAACAGGAUUAGAUACCCGAGUAGUC